CAACUGCAGGAGCUGAGGGUGAGAGAGAACUGGGGAGGAGGGGGCCAGAGUGAUUUGCAGUGUUACUAAUGUAGCUGGUUCUAUGGAAGCCUCAGUUCCAUCUGGGAUCCCUUUCGUGAACAGUGGACUAGGUCUUCACAUUCAGCCCAGGAUUACUAAAGCAUAGGAAAGGUGGGGGAACAUAGACACAGCUCAUGUAAACAUUCCUUUUGUUUGUUUAUGGCCGAAUCCUAGCCACUGGACUACCUGAGACAUACAGAUAUUCUUUGGCUAUGGGCUGACAUUUGAAUACAGCUGGGGCCUCAGGAUUCUCUGAAAUAAAGGGCUGCCUCCCUCUGGAGGAGCCAGGCAGCUCCUCAGAGCAGCUGCCCAUUGCGUGCUGGGCAAAGCCACGUCACCGCCUCCAUGGCUCCCCAGUCUCCUAGCUUGCUAUAUCUCUCCACCUUAGAGACUGGGAGCACCUUGAUCUGAAGCUCUUUGCAGUGCUGGUGGCAGUGUAGGGGGAGGUAGUUGAUGGGAGUGAGGGAAAGGAAUUGGCAAGGAACCCUGGGCCUCUGUGGCUCACUGCAUCAAGCAGUUCUUGGCAAAGGCUCCCCGGGUUCAUCCUGUGUCCUCUCCACCUGCCAGUCAUCUUCUUGUGAGCCCUGGGCUUAGAAGUCACCAUGGCAACUGAAGAGUUCAUCAUCCGCAUCCCCCCAUACCACUAUAUCCAUGUGCUGGACCAGAACAGCAAUGUGUCCCAUGUGGAGGUCGGGCCAAAGACCUACAUCCGGCAGGACAAUGAGAGGGUACUGUUUGCCCCUAUGCGCAU
rnacentral:sRNA from 1 species